rnacentral:rRNA from 1 species
GACGAACGCUGGCGGCGUGCCUAAUACAUGCAAGUCGAGCGCAGGAAACUGACGGAACUCUUCGGAGGGAAGGCAGUGGAAUGAGCGGCGGACGGGUGAGUAACACGUAAGGAACCUGCCUCAAGGAUUGGGAUAACUCCGAGAAAUCGGAGCUAAUACCGGAUAGUUCAACGGACCGCAUGGUCCGCUGAUGAAAGGCGCUCCGGCGUCACCUUGAGAUGGCCUUGCGGUGCAUUAGCUAGUUGGUGGGGUAACGGCCCACCAAGGCGACGAUGCAGAGCCGACCUGAGAGGGUGAUCGGCCAAACUGGGACUGAGACACGGCCCAGACUCCUACGGGAGGCAGCAGUAGGGAAUCUUCCACAAUGGACGAAAGUCUGAUGGAGCAACGCCGCGUGAGUGAUGAAGGUUUUCGGAUCGUAAAACUCUGUUGUAAGGGAAGAACACGUACGAGAGGGAAUGCUCGUACCUUGACGGUACCUUACGAGAAAGCCACGGCUAACUACGUGCCAGCAGCCGCCGUAAUAC